rnacentral:rRNA from 1 species
UGGGGAAUUGUUCGCAAUGGGCGCAAGCCUGACGACGCAACGCCGCGUGGAGGAUGAAGGUCUUCGGAUCGUAAACUUCUGUUGCCCGGGACGAAUAGCUUAGACCUAAUACGUCUGAGUAUGACGGUACCGGGUGAGGAAGCCCCGGCUAACUCUGUGCCAGCAGCCGCGGUAAUACAGAGGGGGCAAGCGUUGUUCGGAAUUACUGGGCGUAAAGGGCGCGUAGGCGGCCUGCUAAGUCGAACGUGAAAUCCCCGGGCUCAACCCGGGAACUGCGUCCGAUACUGGCAGGCUUGAAUUCGGGAGAGGGAUGCGGAAUUCCAGGUGUAGCGGUGAAAUGCGUAGAUAUCUGGAGGAACACCGGUGGCGAAGGCGGCAUCCUGGACCGGUAUUGACGCUGAGGCGCGAAAGCCAGGGGAGCAAACGGGAUUAGAUACCCAUGUAGUCCCUGAGCGGGCUGGCAAGGCGCAU